rnacentral:lncRNA from 1 species
GGCCAUUUCUGGUGCCAUCAUACCGUGGAAGCUCUUUCUUGGACCCCAAGGGAAGGGGUGCUUCCACAGGUUAUGACAAUGCUGUUGCUUUGCCUGCUGGUGGAAGAGGAGAUGAAGAGGAACUUGCCAAGGAAAACAACAAAAGUGCCUCAUCAUCCACGGGGAAAAUCACCUUGAGUGUCACCAAGACCAAGCCUGAGACUGGUGAGGUUAUUGGUGUGUUCGAGAGUGUUCAGCCAUCUGACACUGAUUUGGGAGCAAAGGCCCCAAAGGAUGUCAAGAUCCAGGGCGUCUGGUACGCUCAGCUUGAGUCAUAGAGUCUUUCUUUUAUGCUUUGUU